rnacentral:RNase_P_RNA from 1 species
GGCAGCGGGCGAGGGGCUGUCCCGUAAAGGGAGGAAGGUCCGCCCACCCAAAGUGAAAAGGGGAGCUCCCCCGCCCCGAGAGGGGCGCCGGAGGAACAGAAACGGCACUUCCACCGGGGAGCAAAUGACCGUGUGGGAGCGGUGAACCGGCGGAAGGUGAAACGGCCUCCGGACGGGUGCAAGGCGCUAGCCGCUCAGUCGAAUGCCCCGCAGAACAGAAGGCGGCCUACGGCCCGCUGCC